rnacentral:lncRNA from 1 species
UUUAUUCUCCCCUAACCAUUUUGACUUUAUUUUCUAUCAAUUUACAUAUUUUUAUUUUGUCUAUCUCUUGUCAGGUUGCUGUAGGCAUUAUUGUUUUUGAUAGAUUUGUCUUUUAGACUUUACACUAGACUUAGGAGUGGAUUGUACAUCAUAAUUACAGUAUUAGAGUCUGCUGGGUUAGUCCAUGUACUUAAUUUUACCAGUGGGUUUUAUACCUUCAAAUAGUUUUCUUUUGCACAUUAGUGUUUUUUUCUUCUUCCAGAUUGAAGAACUCCUUUUAUCAUUUCUUGUUAGACAGAUCUAGUGUUGGUGAAUUUUCUCAGCUUUCUUUUGGGGAAUACUUUAGCACUUUUUCAUAUUUGAAGGAUAGCUUUGCUGGAUACAAUAUUCUUGCAUAGCAGAUUUUUUAUUCCAGCAUUUAAAAAAUGUCAUCCCUCUUCUUACUGGCCUCUAUGGUUUCUAUUGAGAAGUCUGUUGGCAGAUGAAUUGAAGCCCCUUUAUAUGUUAUUUGGUUAAGUUUUAUUUUUUUCUCAGUUUUCUUAAGAUGGCUAUUCUGAAUUCUUGGUCAGAGUUCACAUAUUACCAUCUUGUUAGGGUCAGUCACUCAUUCCUUGCUUUGCCUAUCUGAGGACGUUGUGAUUCCCAUUUUGCUAUUGUUUCUUGUGCAUGUAUAUCUAUGUCUUUGCAUUGAAGAAUUAUUUAUUGCCAUCUUCUCUGUCUGGCUUGUUUUUUUCUUUUUUAUUGGAUAUGUUUGCUUAUAGAGUCUUUGUAAUUUUCUUGUUGAUUUUGUUUUUAAAUUUUUAUUCCUGCUAGGUUGCUGCUGCUUACCUAGUACUAGAUUGAGCCUUAAGCCUAGGUUUGCUUUGGUUCUAGGAAACAUUCAGAAUGCCACCCAUCUAAAAUAAGGGAGGUCCCAAAGGGGAUAUCCUAGUAAUGUGGGAAGGCUGGCUUUUGCACAGAGGACCUGUGGAAUGGAGCUCCUACAGCACGAUGCUGCUGAACAACCUCUGUGACUUGGCAUCUCCUUUGGUUGAGUUACAAAGAAGUUUCCAGGGCUGGGAAUGGUAGUCCCACUUCCCCCUUUGUCUCUGGCUGUCCUGAGGGAUAGUCUCCCUUCAGGUACUGUCAGUGCUUCCUGUGAGUUGAGGCAAGGAUAGAUCUCCUGCCUGAGAACCCAAGAUGGUGGAGAAGCUGAUUGUUCACCUCACUCUGACUUUUUUUUCAGUGUAAAAAACCAUGAAUCAGGGAGAAAUUUUUUUGUGUACUUGGUGCUGGGGGGCAGGGAGCAGCAUAACAGGUGCUGUACAUAUGGAAGCCUGAUUCUCUUAACAUCUUCUCAUAGUUUUUUCACUUCUUUGUGGCCCUGGGAACUGUCUCAUCCUCAUAUUUGAGUUCUGGAACUUUGUUGGUGAUAAUCUUGGCACUGUAUAUUUGAUUUUGGGUUUCUCCGGGGGACAAGGAAAUGGAGUGAAACCAGCUUGUUUUGAUGCUACAUUUGAAACCAGAAGUCCUCUUGAUUUUUUUUUUUUCUGAACAAAAGUUGGCCAUUCGGACUUAAAAUAUCUUGAUCCAGAGUUGAGCAACGUCUACCUAGAAUAUCUGCUUCUCGCUGCCACAUGUUCCUUCCAUUCCAUUCCAUGAAGUCUACUUAACGAGCCCCUUCAGUAGAGAAGUUCUCAACGAAUCCCUUCUGGAUCCAGGCAUUCUGAUUACUGUAUUAUGACUGUGCACUCUACCCAGGGCAGACUGUCAUCUGAGCCCGGCCUGUCCUGCUGUCUGCUCUCUCCAGAGAGCAUCCUUCAUCCUGAUAAACAGGCUGCGAGCUGGACAUGUGACUGAGCUCCUUAAGAAAACAGAUCCAGAGAACUGCUGCUCUAUUUGUUCUACAAGCAUCUAGUGAAACUUCCAAGCCACUGUGCUGGGUGCUGUAGGGGGAGACAGAGAUGCCCAAGAAAGGAGCACUGGCCUCACAGACCUUUCAGUGAGGCAUGAGAAAGAGUACGUGUGCACCAGUUAUCAAAGAUGGAAACCCAUGUGGAAGGUGAAAACAAGGCUGUGGAAUCUCAGGUGAGGGAGGUAGUGGGUCAGCUGAGAGACUCAGAUGAUUUUAUGGAGACAGUGGCACCUGAACCCAAUCUUGAAGGAUUUGAUAUGUGGGGUUUGGGGAAGAGUACCCAAGUUUGAAUGCAUUUUGGCCUUUACCAAGCUUUAAGUCCAAUUUAAAACCAGACCACAGAGUCAUAUGUGCCAACUGUGAUUGUGGCUACAAUUCAUGCUGAGUGCUAUAGUUUGAAUGUUCCUCCCUGACCCACCAAAGUUAACAUGUUGAAAGCUUGAUUCCCAAAGCAAUGGUGUUGGGUGAUGAGGCCUAAUGGGAAGUGUUUGGAUCAUGGGGGCUCUGCCCUCAUGAAUGAAUUAAUGCGGUUAUGGCAGGAGCAUGUUCCUUAUAAAAAGACGAGUUUGGUCCCUCUCUCUCUGUCCUUCUACCAUGUUAUGACACAGCAAGAAGGCCCUGGUCAGAUGUCAACACCUUGAUCUUGGACUUGCCAGCAUCUAGGAAUAUGAGACAUAAAUUUCUGCUUUUAGCCAGUCUUCUCAGACAUGAGUCUUCAGUCUCCUGCCCUCAGCUUAGCUGGAAGCUGGAUGACAGCCACAUUAAGAGGCUUUCUGCAAGUGGCUUUUGGAUGAAAAGGGGGCCUCUCAGGUACUCCACUCUCACGUUGCAGGCUCUGCAGCAGCUGGUCUAUCUGGUGGCACUGGGAGUAAGUAGUAUGGGAGACCCCUCCAUGCCGGGGUCCCCUGGAGUGUCCUCCUCAUAGCGUGAGGGUUCUUCUCAGGGAUACUGAGGAUAAUUCACAAUGGCUUUGUAGUUGCAAUAUUCUUUUUUUAUUUCUUAAGUUUCUGUGUCCCAAAUUUUAGUACAAAUAAACAUUUAUAUACAUGGCAAGAAAAUAUGAUCCAUGCUAAUCAUUUAGUAAAUGUGUGAUUUCUUGUGAUUUCACCUUGUCUAGUGUCACCCUCUUUGAGGCAGGGCAAUCAAUCAGGACAUUAGCCAUUUACUCUCCCUCACCUUCCAGCUACUCCUCACUCUUAUCAUCCGACUUUGAAUGGGAGCCUCGCUCCUUCACCCUGAGCCGUCCAUCAAGACCCAGCACUAGGGCCAGGUCUGGUGACGGUGGCCAGACUGCUCACACUGCUGCCCCAGAACAUCCAGGGAUUUACAUCAUGCACCAGGUCCUGGGAUUGCGUCUUAACUAUCUGCAAUGGUCAUUCUGCUUCAUGAGAAAGGGACUACAGAUUGCAGCACUGAGUAAGUGUAAUUGAGAAUUAAUGUGUUCUGUGGCUCAGAGGUGGAAAAUAAAACUGAGGCAGCCCAUAUGAGGAAAAAGUGGAUUCUUGUCAUGUAAGUGAGGCCAUGAGGACACAUGAUUGUGGCCUUUAUUGCUCAGGCCUGCCCAGUGGAUACUAGGAAAAGGACCCUCUUUCUGCUGUCAAGCUUUAACAAAAUUUGAGUGAAGCUUUAUUUCUCUAAAAAGAAACACAAGAUAGGCAAGAUGCAAAGAAUGGUCAGAGGGAAGAGGGAAGUUAAAAUGAAGGUGAUUGCCGCUCUGACAUCGUAACUACACUUGUGAAGGCAAUGGUAAGUUGCCUGCUGCAAAUGGGAAUCAUUUCUAAGAUAUAAAAUAAAGGUUUUACUGAAAGUAUCAGGAAAGUUUAGCAUCCAGUAGAAACUGAAACUAAUCAAGGUUUCUUAGGUAUUUUAUAUAUUGAUAUUUCAUUCUUCUAUUUUUUUCUUCCAACUUUGUUACUUCCUUUUACUUAAUGAAUCUCAGAUAAUUUACUGUGGUUUUUACCAUGAAAGAGAAAUGCCAGGGAUCCACUUUCUGAAUAAGACUGCUUCAGGCAACCACCAUUUUACUCUAUGUCUCUACGGAUUUGGCUGCCAUAAGUGCCUCACGUAAGUGGAAUCAUGACGUAUUUGUCUUUUUGUGACUGGCUUAUUUCACUUAUUUUCAUGUCAUUAAGGUUCAUCCAUGUUA